UACGUAGGUGGCAAGCGUUGUUCGGAAUAACUGGGCGUAAAGGAUGCGUGGGCGGUUAAACAAGUUAUAUGUUAAAUAUAUAGGCUUAACCUGUAGAAAGCAUAUAAAACUGUUUAACUAGAGUGCAGGAGAGGUAAGUGGAAUUCCUAGUGUAGCGGUGAAAUGCGUAGAGAUUAGGAAGAACACCAGUGGCGAAGGCGACUUACUGGACUGUAACUGACGCUGAGGCAUGAGAGCAUGGGGAGCAAACAGG
rnacentral:rRNA from 1 species